rnacentral:rRNA from 1 species
GACGAACGCUGGCGGCGUGCUUAACACAUGCAAGUCGAACGGAAAGGCUCCAGCUUGCUGGAGUACUCGAGUGGCGAACGGGUGAGUAACACGUGGGUAAUCUGCCGUGCACUCUGGGAUAAGACUGGGAAACUGGGUCUAAUACUGGAUAUGAUCUUUCUCCUUAUGGGGUUUGGUGGAAAGAUGUUCGGUGUAGGAUGAGCCCGCGGCCUAUCAGCUUGUUGGUGGGGUGAUGGCCUACCAAGGCGACGACGGGUAGCCGGCCUGAGAGGGUGAUCGGCCACAUUGGGACUGAGAUAUGGCCCAGACUCCUACGGGAGGCAGCAGUGGGGAAUAUUGCACAAUGGGCGGAAGCCUGAUGCAGCGACGCCGCGUGAGGGAUGACGGCCUUCGGGUUGUAAACCUCUUUCAGCAGGGACGAAGCGUAAGUGACGGUACCUGCAGAAGAAGCACCGGCUAACUACGUGCCAGCAGCCGCCGCCG